rnacentral:rRNA from 1 species
GGCCUAACACAUGCAAGUCGAACGGCAGCGGGGAGUAGCUUGCUACUCCGCCGGCGAGUGGCGGACGGGUGAGUAAUGCAUGGGGAGCUGCCCAAUCGAGGGGGAUAACAGCUGGAAACGGCUGCUAAUACCGCAUACGCCCUCCGGGGGAAAGGUGGGGAUUUUCGAACCUAUCGCGAUUGGAUGCACCCAUGUGGGAUUAGCUAGUUGGUGAGGUAACGGCUCACCAAGGCGACGAUCUCUAGCUGGUCUAAGAGGAUGACCAGCCACACUGGGACUGAGACACGGCCCAGACUCCUACGGGAGGCAGCAGUGGGGAAUUUUGGACAAUGGGCGCAAGCCUGAUCCAGCCAUGCCGCGUGCGGGAAGAAGGCCUUCGGGUUGUAAACCGC